GCCAUAGCUCAGUGGUAGAGCACCUGCUUUCUAUGCAGAAGGUCCCAGCUUGUCCCCUGGUCUGACCG